rnacentral:ncRNA from 1 species
UUGUGUUAGGGAUUGAUGCGGCAUCCUUUUUUGCUUUUUCUGCAAAAAAGAUAUAGCGGAAAGCCCGGUUAUUU